rnacentral:tRNA from 1 species
AGAGUCUUAGUUUAAGUUAAAAUACCUGUAUUGCAGUCAGGUGAUGUGGUUAUCUGCAGAUUCUA